GUUUCCAAAUUGCCCAUCGGUUUGUGAGUGUGCCCUGCGGAAUCACAAAUAUAAAUAAAGCAUGUACUUAGAAAUCCUUUUUAAAAACGUUUAACAUUCCUAACCAUAACCCUGUACACAACCUCUCUAUUAGUUUGAUAUGGAUCCUAUUGAGGAAAUCUAGCCCAAGAUGCACAGCCUUGAUUCUUUUUUAAGACAUAGAAAAUAAUUAUGUUGCCAGGAGGCAGUGCCUAGGCGAAAUGCUGCAUUAAUGGUAGCCAGAGUGUCCAUUUGUCCAUUUGCGGCAUGGGAGUUAAUGUAGCUUUUAGUCAGGGGGCGACUCCAAAGCACACAAUCUGACAUGCGAAAAUUGGCACUAAUUAAAGACGCACAAGCCACCAGGAUAGUUGCUUCAAUGCCUUUCAGAAUUCCUUUCAUGCAUGACGCUUGCUGCUCCCAUCUAUGAGUGUCUGUUUCACAUCCCCCAGCAGGAGUGUCCAGGAUCGUGGCCCAUAUGAAGGUGAGCUGAUGUCUGGGCCUCUGCACCAGCUCCACCCCAUUUCUCUGUCGACUGCUGUCAUUAACAUGGCGUGGUGACAGAAAUCAGACAGCUUGCUUACCCUGCUCAUCCCUCUCCUGGAGAAUGCCAGCUUGGUCAGGGCUGCACCCCCCCACAGUGCUAGGAUCAGCAUUCCUGCCACGGGCCACCUUAUCAGUCAACUUGGAAUCUCAAGCAGGAGAGCAUCUGCCCCGUCUAUGGUGACCCCCUUGUUCAACGUUCAGGCUCAGCACAGGUACAGCUUUGAUGGCCCCCAUGGAAUAGAGGGAACUCUCUUGACCCCCCCCACUGCAGUUCUCAGAUUGCAAUUCUCAGCAAACAUCGCUUUCAUUUUCAUCCUAAUGAAACAUCAGUAAGUUUAUCAACUUCUUCUUUAAGACCUUCAUCGACUGACACAGAGUGCAAGGCAUCACCAUCAUUGAUACGAUGGCUGCUAGGAGGUGCACUCACAUAGUCCAUCUUCAGGGCCUCUCGUGCAUUUUCACAACGUCCCGCUAUCAGCAGAGCCUCCUCCAAAUCUGUACCUCCCUGCUCGAGGCACUUUGUCUUUAAAACGGGGUCCAGCCCAGCGAGAAGGCGCCUAAACUUCUCCUCCCGCUGCGCCACACUUACAUAAUCCGGAAAAGCCUCCUGCACCAACCGACUAAUAUCGGCAGCAUAUACAUCCCAGCUCACACCGGGAAAAUGCGAUCGGGCAGCAAGAGAAGCUCUGAAGCGCUCCGUACACGAUUUUUGGUCGAAAGCCUCCUUAAGCUUCUAUUUACCCGCCGCGUAUUCAGAUUGCGCCGGUAUCGGGCAGACUGUCCCAUAGCAGAAAAGCUUCCCCGCUCAGUGACUCUGGAGAAUCCUCACUAAUUCAUCAUAAUGAUGAAUGCCUUCACAGCCGCUUCCAGUUGCCUCGUCCAGCAGAAGAAACUCUGGCUCCCGUCACCAAUAAAGGGCGCAGGCAGAUUCCCUCGAAGAGCGCCCCGAUCCUGCUGUAGCCAACGACUGCAGGGUUGCCAACUCUAACGCAUCUGGCGUGACACGCGCGCUUUCUGAUUCUCACGCGCACACAAGAAAUCUUACGUCAAGUCUAUAUUACUCCGCUAUAAACCUAAAAUGAGCUACAUCAAAAAGUAGUUUGCAAACCCAAAAGAAUAUUUUCGAAGUUAAUGAAGCUGUGACAUGCAUGUAAACCUCACGCUGGCCGGAGCUGGCAGCCCUGAAGCGAACUGGUGGAGGAGCUGGAGAACAGAGGACAGAAAGUCUCCUCUACAUGCCGAUUGACUGCUGACCAGUUCUGCUCUAGGAUCCUGACUUCACGUACAUUGGUGGUGAGUGGCUCAGUGGGCUUGUGAACAGGAGGUCCCUGGUUCGAGUCCCAGCCCUUGUGGAACGGUUACAUGUCUGUGGCUCCUUGAGCAGGGCCCUUAACUAUAAGCUCAAUGCCAUGUGGUCUGACUUCCAAGAGAUGAUGAUGAUGAUGAAGCAAGUGAAGAAGUUGUAGCUGUGCUUAAAUUCAAUGGAUUAGGAUGCUUGCUGGCAGAAGGAGGCCCUCUGGGGGGGUUGGGAGACCAGGCCCCGCCCCCAUCCUCCAGAUCACCUCUGCUGCUCCUGUCCUAACCUGUACAGUGCUUCUCAUUGCUUAAAACAUUUAAUUAGCUUUUUAAAAAUCAAUUCAGAAUUAUAUUGAAUGGAGUAGUGUUGAGGUCCAUGUAUAAAAAACAGAGAUAAAACCAUAUUUGUGUGUUUUUCAUUCACUUUAUUUUGUUAGUUCAAUUCCUAUGAAUGAAGAACAGUGAGUCACAGAAGGAUUUUUCUGGAACAGAACUGUCACAGUGUUUCAGCCAAGGAUGGAGCGGCGAGGUGCAUGGCGAGGGAGAUGCGUUAGGGCCACACCCCUCCAGUUGUGUGGUUUUGCUCUGAAACGAGGGGAACCUGAUGACCAUCCCAGCCCACCCCUCGUUAAAAUCAACAACAAAUAACAUAUAAUUAGAUAUUAUAUUUAUAUAUAUGUAUAUAUAUAUAUAUAUAUUUAUACUCUUUAAAAAUAAAACUUCAGUUUGGUGGCUACAACUGUACAAACUACAAAAAUAAAAAUUUGAUAUAAAUAAUUUAUAUGGCAUGACAAACAUUUGAAAUAAAACUACAACGUAAU